GGUUCAGUGGUCUAGUGGUUAUGAUUUGUGUCUCACAUCGUGUACACACAAGGUCCCCGUUUCGAUCACGGGCUGAACCA